CCUACGGGCGGCAGCAGUGAGGAAUAUUGGUCAAUGGACGAGAGUCUGAACCAGCCAAGUAGCGUGAAGGAUGACUGCCCUAUGGGUUGUAAACUUCUUUUAUAUGGGAAUAAAAUGUUCCACGUGUGGGAUUUUGUAUGUACCAUAUGAAUAAGGAUCGGCUAACUCCGUGCCAGCAGCCGCGGUAAUACGGAGGAUCCGAGAGUUUUCCGGAUUUAUUGGGUUUAAAGGGAGCGUAGGUGGAUUGUUAAGUCAGUUGUGAAAGUUUGCGGCUCAACCGUAAAAUUGCAGUUGAAACUGGCAGUCUUGAGUACAGUAGAGGUGGGCGGAAUUCGUGGUGUAGCGGUGAAAUGCUUAGAUAUCACGAAGAACUCCGAUUGCGAAGGCAGUUCACUGGACUGCAACUGACACUGAGGCUCGAAAGUGUGGGUAUCAAACAGGAUUAGAUACCCGAGUAGUC
rnacentral:rRNA from 1 species